rnacentral:lncRNA from 1 species
CUGGCCCUUUUUAUUUUUUAUUUUGAGACAGGGUUUCACUAAGUUGCUUAGGGCCUCACUAAGUUGCUGAGGCUGACCUUGUGCUUGUGAUCCCAGGUCACAGGGAUUACAAUCAGUCAUUGACUUUAUGAUGGUACAGAAAUGAUACACACUCAGUAGCAACCCAACUUCAUAUUCUAAAUUUCUCUUUUCCCUGACUAGCAAUAUUUGGUUUAGUACUCUUGCAACACUGGGCAGCUAUAGUGAGCUUCAGCUUUCCAUCAGCCAAGGAGUCAUGCAGGGAAACAACUGAUGGUUCAGUGCGUACUGCUGAGCUGUGAUGUUCAGUAGGUCAGGUGUAUGAAGUGCAUGUUCACCUUGUGAUAUUUUCAGCUUAUAAUGGGACAUAACCUUAUUUUAAGUCAAGGAGCAUUAGUCUAAAGGAUCAAGGACUUAGCAUUUGAAGUUGAGUCUUGAAGGAGACAUAGGAAUUCAUCCUGUAGACAGCAUGUUCAAGGGAAAAAAUGUACAUAUACAUGUUAAACAUAUAGUUACAUGUAGGUCUUUAAAAAAUUUUUUUAGUUGUGGAUGGACACAAUACCUUUAUUUUAUUUAUUUUUAUGUGGUGCUGAGGAUCAAACCCAGUGCCUCACACAUGUCAGGCAAGUGCUCUACUGCUGAGCCAUAACUCCAGUGCUAGGUUUUCAUUUGGGAUACAUUCAUGUUACCACUGGUUGUGUUUAAGGGAUUAGCUCUUUUCCCUUUAUCAUUCCCUGUAUCUUCCUAAAAUUUACUAAUUUUUCAUUAAAAAAAUGUUUAAAAAUCAUACAUAUCAAUGCUUUCAUUUAUUUUAAGAAAACCAGUAAUCCUUUUUUAAAAAAAUUUUUUUGUAGUUAUAGAUGGACAGCAUACCUUCAUUUUAUUUGUUUAUUUUUAUGUGGUGCUGAGGAUUGAACCCAGUGCCUCACACAUGCAAGGCAAGCACUCUGCCACUGAGCUAUAGCCCCAACCCCCCAAAACAGUAAUCUUUCUCAUACUAUUUCAUCUCCUAGACCAUAAUCUUUUUUUUUUUUGGUACUGGGGAUUGAACUCAGGGGCACUUGACCACUGAGCCAAAUCCCCAGCCCUAUUGUGUAUUUUAUUUAGAGACAGCGUCUCACUGAGUUGCUUAGUCCCUUGCUUUUGCUGAGGCUGGCUUUCAACUCAUGAUCUUCCUGCCUCAGGCUCCUGAGCUACUGGGAUUAUAGGUGGGCCCCACCAUGCCCUGCUUAGACCACAUACAUUUAAUUUUAUUUUAUUAGUAUGAGGGGUUGAAUCUGAGAGUGUUGUACCACUGACCUAUCUUUCCAGCCCUUUUUAAAAUUUUUGUUUUGAGACAGGAUCUCAUCAAGUUGUCAAGGCUUGAACUUGCAAUCCUCCUGCCUCAGCCCUCUAGCUCUUGAGAUUGCAGGUGUGUGCCACUAAGCCCAACUUCUAGGUAGUAGGAAGUUUUAAGGCCAAAAGAAUAGGAUUGAAAGUGCUGUAGUGUAUGAGGGACAGGAAAUGGAUGCCUGAUUAGAGCAUCCUAAAGUUGAUAAGGCCAAGUUGCUGUAACCUUUAAAGAGUCUAGCAUAUGUGAUACUGCUUAUCUGUGAUGUGAUCAACAUUUUCUAUAAAAUUAGUGCUGUUUGUCUGCUUUGAGGAGUCUAUGGUUUAGGGAUCAAAAGCAUGAAUCUUGAUGUCAGACUGAAAUUUUUAGCUUUACCACUUAUAAUAUAUGUGACCUUUGGCAAGCUGCUUAUGCUUUAUGUAACCAGUUGUCACACUCAUGAAAUGGGGAUAUGAGUAGGACCUACUUCACUCGGGGGUUGUGAAGAUUAAGUAAAAUAAUACAGAUAAAGUGUUCAGCAUGGCACCUGGUACUUGGUAAGUAGGCAACAAAUGUUUGUGUUAUCAUUGUUUGAAAAGAGAGAAGUUUGGAUGUAGGGAGGAUAGGUUUAAGCCUGUUAGAAAAAUUCAAAAUAAGGGUAAGAAUUUGCAUCUCUAACUAUGUCACACCACCUUUUCAUCUUCCUAUUUGUCCUAACCCUUGUUUUCAUCUUGCUUUGCUGAACUGCCUUUCUGCUUCCUGUUUUAUAAACCUCCAUUUGAGAAUUAUCCAAGCCAGAUUCCUUAUCAUUACUGUCUAUGUUCCUAUUUUAGUCCCAAAUACAGUAGCUUUCUUUAUUGCAAACAGAAAUAUUCUAUUGUGAUCUCUUUUAGAGAGUGAGCCUAGGGGUGAGUUGGAGCCGUCUGUUCAAAAGCACGAUGUGCUUAUUGAAGGAUCAACUUCAGAGGAAAUAAUAGAAAGAUGCUUCAAGGAUGAUGGUUGUGGCUUGACUGCAGAAUUAAGGAAGCGUUAUGGCAGAUCUGAUGAGGGUCAUGGCAAACGACAUUCAAAAGGAACACAUAAGAAAGCUCAUCAGCGAGGCAGUAAAGGUGAAGACUUUGACUCAGAAAGGAGCCCUGGUGCAAAGCACUUUAAACGAACUUCUGACUUGAUGAAACAUGUGAGAGCCUACUUAAGGAAGAAGUCGCGGAGGUAUAAUGAAUCCAAGAAACCCUUCAGUUUUCAUUCCGAUCUUGUUCUGAACCGUAAAGAACAUUCUUCAGAGAAGUCACAGAAAGGCGGAGAAGGUGGGAAGAGCCUAAGUCAUUCUUCAUCUCUUAGUGAACAUCACAAACGUCAGAAAAUGCAUUUGGGAGAUAAGGCCAAGUGCAGUAAAUGUGGGGUGUCCUUUGCCAAAAGCUUAUCCCGUACUGAGAGAGAAAAGAUGAUGUGUGAAAAAUGUCAGAAGAAGUUACAACAAGAUACAACCUUAAAUAAAGAUGAGGGACCUGAGACCGGAAAAAAAACUCAUAAAUGUAGUAAAUGUGGGAAAACCUUUAGCUGUAAUGCCUCACUCACCAAACAUAGAAAGCACACUGGAGAGAAAUCCUUUAUGUGUAGUGAAUGUGAAGAAGUUUUCGGUGAUAGUUCAUCGCUCAAACGACGACGUCGCAAUAGAGAAAAGCCCUUCAAGUGUGAUGAUUGUGGAAAAAGUUUCAGCCUGAGCACUCACCUCAUUAAACAUCAGCGAAUUCAUACUGGAGAAAAACCCUUCAUAUGUAAAGACUGUGGGAGACCCUUUAGUGAAAGUUCUUCUCUUGCUCAACAUCAGCGAACUCAUACUGGAGAAAAACCCUAUAAAUGUAACGAUUGUGGGAAGUCCUUCAGUCAUAGCUCUUCCCUUUCCAAACAUCAGAGAAUUCACACUGGAGAGAAACCCUAUACAUGUGAAGACUGUGGAAAAUCCUUUAGACAGAAUUCUUGCCUUACUCGACAUCAGAGAAUUCACACUGGAGAGAAGCCGUAUUUGUGUAAGGAUUGUGGAAUGACUUUUAGCCAUUUUACAUCUGUCAUUUAUCAUCAAAGACUUCAUUCAGGAGAAAAACCCUACAAAUGUACCGAGUGUGAGAAAGCCUUUCCUACUCAUUCCCUCCUCAGUCGUCAUCUGAGAAUUCAUACUGGUGUGAAACCUUACAAAUGUAGCGAAUGCGAGAAAACCUUCAGUCAGAGUUCAUCUCUUAAUGAACAUUACAGAGUUCACACUGGAGAGAAACCCUACGAAUGUGACUUUUGUGGAGCAACCUUUAGUCGGAGUUCAGUCCUCGUAGAGCACGUAAAAAUUCAUACUGGCAAUAGAGAAUAUGAAUGCAACAAAUGUGAUAAAAUAUUUAAAAGUAAUUCAAGUCUUAUCAGACAUCGGUUAUUUCACUCUGCAGAGUAAUUCUGGGAAUAUAGUAAGGCAGGAGAAAUUCAGUCCAAAAUGUCCCCUUAUCAUCUCCUUACAUAUACACCUGGAAUUUAAAUUACCAUAACAUUUAUGAGUAACUGCAACUUGAAUGGGUUGGCAGCUAGGAAGAAUGUGCAUCUUCAUUCAUUUCUCUUACCAAGGAUGUCAACUGCUGGUUGGUAAAGUUAUAUGGAAAGAGAAGAAGGUAUGUGAUGUGAAAUACUUCUAAAAAGCCAAAAUUAUAUUUGAAAAGUUCUUUCCUUUAGUGUAUUUCUCUUUCUUUGGCUCUUCUUUCACUGCCAGGUAGCAUUAUGGAAAGAGAACUUGACUGGAUUCAGAUUACUUGGGUAUGUCCCCAUUUGCCAACCAACUCACCAUAUAACCUUGCACAAAUAAUUUGACCCUUCUGAAGUUUAGUUUCUUUGCAUGUAGAAGGAAGGGAUGGGGCUAUUGAUUUCUAAGUUUCAUUUUGUAUCUAUGAUAUUCUCUAAUGCUAUGGAAAUCAUUUAAACAUUUUUCGUCCUUUAGAAUGUUUUCAUUUGCUUAGUAGAAAACUACUGUGUUGCAGGAUACUGGACGUAUGAUAAUGUGAUAUACUCUUUGAAUACUUGAUGCAGGAAUCCCUAGAAUGUGAUAAAUAGGAACAGAUCAGGGAAGCUCAAAUAAGUUUGCCUUCAGGGAAUGUUCUAAUCACACAAAUCACCACAAUCUUUUUUUCUUUUGAGUAUUGGCUAAGGGGGUUGAGAAUAUAAGAAUUUGCACCUGAGCCAAUUGAGCCAUGCAUCAUAGGAAGACAGAUUGAGGGUGAUAGAAAAGACACAUGCUGAAAAUAGCUAUUCUGGAUGGAUUUUUUUUUUAUUUUUUUGCAAAAUAGAAGUGUAUAUUUUUAAAAAACUUUGUAGCAAGCACAGCUUCCUGUAAUUACAGUGUAAGCAUUCUGUAUAGCAAAGGUCACAAUCAGAUUGGGUCAGAGUGGGCCCUUGGACAUGUUUUUGGUGUGUGUGUGUGUAUAAUUGUCACUAUUUUAAAAUUAGGGAAUUCCAUGUUAAUACUAUCAUACUGCGCCCUUAUUUCUGUGGAACACUCAGCUGGUUCUGAGUAGCAGCUGCCACCUUGAGAUGGAUAACAUACUCUCAUUUAUCAAGUUAUUUCAUGUAUAUAACCUGACUUUUCCUCUGUAGGAAUUCGAUAUUUUGAUCCCGUACCAUCUGGAAAAUACAUAGACUGAAACCCCAUUGAUAGCUAGUACGAUUCAGGAAAAGAAUGUAGAAUUGAUAAGAAUAAUUGCUCAGUUAUAUUUUCUGUUGUGUGUGAGAGUAGACCUUGAAGGAAUGGAAUAUACGGGUAUUGAUGGAUAUUCUUUAAAAAUUUCAUUGAGGAGUCUGAAUAAUAAUUUCUAAUUGAAAAAGGAACUAAAGAUCCUGAGUGAGUUAGGUUUGGGUGUCAGGUCACUGGGUUCUAGAGAAUCCCCACGACUGAAGAGUGGUACAGAAAUGAGUUCCUAAGGUUGAAAUUUGAAACAGCUCCUGUAAAAAGAGAACUUGAACCAUAAAACUCCGCGCUUGUGGAAAUAAAGAGAUCCUUAAUGCUGAUGUGAGACUCAGGAACGUUUGCUGUAAUGUAACAUGUUUGGUUUGAAAUGCUACCUCUGGAUGUAGGGUUUUCGGUUUCUUCUGGUGCCUCCUUCAUCCCCCCACCCUCAAAGCCUGCAGUUCAGAGUCUGCUGUGUGACAGCUUGAUCUGCACAGUUACCGCUCAAUGGACCAACCAGAUGCACUCUAGCCAUGGAAGGAAUGUCACCUAAGGAUCAUCCACAUUGGUGUAAGUUUUUUUUUUUUUUCUUUCCUCAUAAGAUAUAAUUUAUGGGAAGAAUUAAGAGGAAUAUGUAAAACUCUUAAAGUUAUUUUAGGAUGUUUCAUGGUUAGACCCACCCAGUUUGCAUGAGAGGAUGUUUUAUCCUGGUGUCAGUUGGGAAUCUAGAGCACAAACUUUGUUUUUCAACUUUUUAAGGUAUAAAUUAUAUAUAAUAAUAAUAAAAAAAAGCAAAACCACACACACAGUUUAAGUAUGCAGUUCAGAGAGUUUUAGUAAAUUUACUGAGUGUGCAGCCAUUGCCAUAACCCGCUUUUAGAACAUCACCUUAAUCAGAUCCCUUAGAUUUUUUCCAUCUCCCCUUCCUACCCCUACUCCCAGGCAGCACUGUCGAUCUACCUUCUGUCUGUGGGGUUGCCUUUUCUGGAUUUCUUUGUGGUUUUAAUUUGCAUUUGCCUGAUGACUGAUUAUGUUGAUUUAUCUUUCAUGUGCUCUUUAGCCAUUCAUAUAAGUCGUCUUUGUUAAAAUGCCUACUCAAUCUCUUUAAAAAUUGAGUUGUUGUUAAUUGAGUUACAAUAGAUCCUUUACCUGGAUACAAGUUCUUUGUACAGUACAGCUUUGUAAAUAUUGGGUAGCUACUGAGGGAAACCAUAGACCCUACUGCACAAUAUUUAUCAGUAACUAAGUAUGUAUAAUUGCCUGAAUGAUGUUCAGUCUGGCCCAUCACCCAUGUACUUAAAUCCAUCAUUGGAAUAAGUCAGAUCAAGAGCUUUUCAACUGCUCACUCCUCAUAGAAUUGAUUUUAUUAAGCUUUAUUUAGAAUUUUUGUUCUUGUUUACAUGGAUGAGUGUUAAAGUUAGCCCUGUGACAAAUUUUAUUUUACAGUGAAGCUCGCGCUUUAAAAAAUAUUUCCCAGUAAUGAGUUUCUUUUGAAGAAAUUUCUUUCAAGUUACAGGACAAGACAAGAUUUCUUUGUAUGAAUUCUUUUUCUUUCUGGGGAUAGAGCCCAGGGACUCAUGCACAGUGAACAGACACCACCACUGAGCCACAUCCCCACCCUUGAAUUCACUCUUAUUUUACCUAUUUUAGAAUUCUUCUUUAAUGUAAUAAAAUAUACAUAAUGUAAAAUUAGCUGUUGGGGUCCUUUUUGUGUUGUGUAAUUCAGUAGCAUUAAUUACAUUAACAUGUUCGUAAAAUCAUCACUGUUUAUCUCCAGGACUUUUCCAUCAUCCCAAACUGAAAUUCUGUACUCAUUAAACCAUAACUCAUCAUUUCCCCUCAUUGUGACCACUAUUCUAAUUUGUCUACAUAUUUGAAUUUUAGACACUUCACAUAACUGAGCUCAUAUAACAUCUGUUCUUUUGUGUCUGUCUUAUUUCACUUUGCAUAAUAUUUGGUAAACAUUCCUUUUGUUUCAAGGAAAUGUUGAAUUGGAUUUUCUAGUUCAGGAAAUCUUUAUAAAAUUCUUUUAUAAGUCAUCCAGAUAACAGUGAUAAAGAACCCAAGAUCAUGUAAUGUUUUAUGCUUUUUUGGUUCCAUAACUAGCAGUGAGUAUUCCAUAGCAUUUGUACAUAUGCAUAUGUCCUGAAGAAUUUUAGUGACUGUAUCCAUAUCUCAUCUUGGAAUCUGCUUCAGAAAACUGAACAAGAAUAUCUUCAAUAUGAAUUGUACACUGGAAUAAAGCAACGAGAGGUUAUUUUGCUUUUAAAUUCUGAUGUAUCUGGUCUUUGACUUAGCAUAGCUAGAAUUCCAUCUUCACAGUACAAAUUAAUCUCUUGUUGAAAUUCCUCGACUGAUGGAAAUUGAUCAAAAAUAUCUGUCAUGAAUUUGAGAUUUUAGGCAAUGAAUUGACAUUUCUUUGUAAAUUUGGAUGUUCUUUGAAAACAGAAUAUACCCAAAGUUUUCCUUGAGCAGUGUCUUAUAUCACACAAUUCCUCUGAAACUAAAACUUGAAAAUUUUCAAAUUUUGAAUCAAUUGAUCUUUGAUAUUAUUAGAAACAUAUGCCUAUAUAUUCUGUUAGCAAAAUAUAAUUUGCUCAUGUAUAUUCUAUGAGCAAAAUUGUUAAAUGGUACAAUCGAAUAUUUCAGGGUUUGUUUUUUUUUCUAUCAGGGUUUUUUUGUGUGUGUUUUUUAAGAGGUCUUAAAAUUUUCUAAAUAAAUUAUCAUAUAUAAAAUAAUCUCUUCUUUUUUUUGUGGCAGUGCUGGAGUUAAAUGUAGGGCCUUGUGCAUGCUAGACAAGUGCUCUGCCACUGAGCUACACUCCAGCCUGACUCUUUUUAUCUUUCAAUCUAACGUUCUUUUUUUGUGUGUGGUCAUGUAAGAAUUAAGCUGUUUUAAUAGUGCACUGUGUUUACAAACAGUCUGCUAAAACUUUUAAAAAUUGUUUUGUUAGAAAUUUAAUUCUCAUUUCUUAUGACUAAUUUUGUGAAUUAUUUUUUGACUAAUUUGUUCAAAAAAUUAGUAAUUCUUAAUGAUUGUCUUCAGUGUUGCCUUUUAUGUUAUCGUCAACACUUGAAUUCAACAGCCUUUUCUUUUCAUUUUGCUGUAAAUUGCAAUUGGUAUGGAUCUUUGAAUGUGCACUAUACUCUCCUAUUCCCGUUUUUGCUGGUUGUAGUACUAGCUUCUGUAUCUGCACUGAAUUUUGCCUCAAUGAUAUGCCUUGUUUAAAAUUUAAAUAUUUUCCAUAUAUUUUUGCCUAGAAAAUAAUUAUAAUAGCAAAUAUCUCAAUUUAAUGAUUAUGAUUUAUGUGCAAAACACUGUAACUUGUGCUGUCUGCAUAGGUAUAUUCUAACUUGUGCUACCUACAUAAAAUAUCCAAGUAAACCCACCAUAAUAUUCCAUCCGUGCAUAGAAAAAAGUCAUCUGAACUGAAUUAGUCUGUUGAUACUGACUAGAUUGGUGAUAUGUUUGUAUGUAACACUAAAAAUAAUGCACGUUCCAUACAAGUGUUAGAAGACCAGUGUCCUAUGUGAUGCAGUGGUUAAAGUGAAUUGUAGUUCUGUCAAGACAAUAAAGUUGUGUUUAAUGAAAAAAUA